rnacentral:rRNA from 1 species
UACGUAGGGGGCAAGCGUUGUCCGGAAUCAUUGGGCGUAAAGAGCGUGUAGGCGGCUCGGUAAGUCCGCUCUGAAAGCCCGGGGCUCAACCCCGGGAGGCGGGCGGAUACUGUCGGGCUAGAGUCCGGAAGAGGCGAGUGGAAUUCCUGGUGUAACGGUGAAAUGCGCAGAUAUCAGGAGGAACACCAAUGGCGAAGGCAGCUCGCUGGGACGGUACUGACGCUGAGACGCGAAAGCGUGGGGAGCAAACAGG